CAUGGAAGGAAGAUUUAAGAGGAUAAAGCUCACCCUUCCUGUGUUAAUCAGAUUUUCUUUGCACUGUUGUGAUUAAAAUUCUUGGAAAAAACAACUUAAAGGAAGAGGAAGAAGGGUUUACUUUGGCUGGUAAAUUGAGUUUGUGGAUGGCUGGCUGUACUGUUUUUGGCUUAACUCGAGUAGAAUAUCACGGCAAUACAAUGGGUCGUAUGGAUGAGGAGGCUUCUCACCUCAUGACCUCUGAGACGGGGACCCAUGGCCCAGUGCAAAACCUCAAAGUCACAUAAACUCUGCUGUCUUCUGAGGAGUAGCAGAACGAUGUGUGUGCAAUAACAACAGGCAUCAAAGGCCCCCUUUUUCCCCUGGCUCGGUGGAUGCUGAUACCAGAAUUGCUCUGCUUACAUUGCACCGGAAUUCCACUGGGUUGCAUUUGCAGUGAUCAGUGGAGGACUGAGUGGAGGUGAGUUCCAAGAAUUGAACUCAGGUCUUCAGGCUUGCCACAUCAAACACUUUGACCCUUUGCACCAUCUUGCGGACAGGAGCCUAGCCUAACUGCACUCUGAGAAACUCACUGAAACAGAUGCAGAAACCCAUAGCCAAACACUGGAUGGUGCUCAGGACCCCAAAGUGAUAGGAGCUCCACAGGAAGACUCACAGAGUGGAUCCUUCAGGGCUCCCAGAGACUGAACCACCAACAAAAGAGGCUCAUGACUACUGCAGGAGUGAGAGUGGAAAUAAUAUGAGGUAAAUAGCGUGAAGAUGGACAGCAAAGAGGUGUCUUCCGCACAUGACAGAGUUUAUAAACUCACUGACGCUGUGGCUACCUAUGUAAGACCAUCAUGUAGAGAUCUCAUCAUGGAUGAGGGUCUGUGAAUCCCUACUCUUCUCUGUGAGGGGGGGCAUCUCUCAGGAUCUGUCUUACUUUCUAUUGCUGUGAAGAGACUAGCGUGACACCCUUCCCCCAACAAGAUCCCCCUCAUAAUAAUAUCUUUCUCUAUUGAUCUUAUUGGGCCAUUUUCAUUCAAACCACCAUAGAGUGUAUUGGUAAUUUAUGGCACUUUGGAGAAGAGUAUGGCUUUUCCCCCAGUGGAAUAGCCAAUGAUGUGCUACCCUUGAUCCAGUUAAUAGCCUACCAAUGCUCAGAUAAGCAACUCUAAGUCAAUCCAGUAGGUCACACAUAGAGGGAGAUGUACAUUUUCUUCUUUUUAAU
rnacentral:sRNA from 1 species